UUCAAUAAGCGGAGGAAAAGAAACUAACAAGGAUUCCCCUAGUAACUGCGAGUGAAGCGGGAAAAGCUCAAAUUUGAAAUCUGGCAGUCUUUUUUUUCUUCUUUGGCUGUCCGAGUUGUAAUCUAGAGAAGUGCUUACCUGCACUGGACCAUGUAUAAGUCUCCUGGAAUGGAGCGUCGCAGAGGGUGAGAAUCCCGUCUUUGACAUGGACUGCCAGUGUGUUGUGGUGUGCUCUCAAAGAGUCGAGUUGUUUGGGAAUGCAGCUCUAAAUGGGUGGUAAACUCCAUCUAAAGCUAAAUAUUGGCGAGAGACCGAUAGCGAACAAGUACCGUGAGGGAAAGAUGAAAAGGACUUUGGAAAGAGAGUUAAACAGUAUGUGAAAUUGUUGAAAGGGAAACGCUUGAAGUCAGUUAUGUUGGCUAGGGAUCAACCUAGCUAUUUUUUGCUGGGUGAAUUUCCUAGUCUGACAGGCCAACAUCAGUCUUGACUGCUGGAAAAGAGCAGAGGGAAUGUGGCACCUUUGGGUGUGUUAUAGCCCUCUGUCAUAUGUAGCAGUUGGGACUGAGGGAUGCAGCGUGCCGCGAGGCUGGGUUUCGACCACGUUCACGCUUAGGAUGUUGGCUUUUAAUGGCUUCAAUCGACCCGUCUUGAAACACG
rnacentral:rRNA from 1 species